rnacentral:rRNA from 1 species
AUUGAACGCUGGCGGCAGGCCUAAUACAUGCAAGUCGAGCGGAUCUGAUGGAGUGCUUGCACUCCUGAGGAUUAGCGGCGGACGGGUGAGUAACACGUAGGCAACCUGCCUGUAAGACUGGGAUAACUAACGGAAACGUUAGCUAAGACCGGAUAGGUGGAAGGAACGCAUGUUCUUUCCUGGAAAGACGGAGCAAUCUGUCGCUUACGGAUGGGCCUGCGGCGCAUUAGCUAGUUGGGGAGGUAACGGCUCACCAAGGCGACGAUGCGUAGCCGACCUGAGAGGGUGAUCGGCCACACUGGGACUGAGACACGGCCCAGACUCCUACGGGAGGCAGCAGUAGGGAAUCUUCCGCAAUGGACGCAAGUCCGACGGAGCAACGCCGCGUGAGUGAAGAAGGUCUUCGGAUCGUAAAGCUCUGUUGCCAGGGAAGAACGCUUGGGAGAGUAACUGCUCUCAAGGUGACGGUACCUGAGAAGAAAGCCCCGGCUAACUACGUGCCAGCCGCCGCCGUAACAC